ACGGCGAGUGAAGCGGCAACAGCUCAAAUUUGAAAUCUGGCUUCGGCCCGAGUUGUAAUUUGCAGAGGAUGCUUUUGGUGCGGUGCCUUCCGAGUUCCCUGGAACGGGACGCCACAGAGGGUGAGAGCCCCGUAUGGUCGGACACCAAUCCUGUGUAAAGCUCCUUCGACGAGUCGAGUAGUUUGGGAAUGCUGCUCUAAAUGGGAGGUAAAUCUCUUCUAAAGCUAAAUACCGGCCAGAGACCGAUAGCGCACAAGUAGAGUGAUCGAAAGAUGAAAAGCACCUUGAAAAGGGGGUUAAACAGUACGUGAAAUUGUUGAAAGGGAAGCACUUGUGACCAGACUUGGGCCGGGCGGCUCAUCAGGGGUUCUCCCCUGUGCAUUCCGCCCGGUACAGGCCAGCAUCGGUUCUUACCGGGGGAUAAGAACGGCAGGAACGUGGCUCCCUCUCGGGGGAGUGUUAUAGCCUGCCGUACGAUACCCUGGCGGGGACCGAGGUUCGCGCUUCCGCAAGGAUGCUGGCGUAAUGGUUACUAGUGACCCGUCUUGAAACACGGACCAAGGAGUCGUCCAUUAGAGCGAGCGUUUGGGUGUAAAACCCGCACGCGUAAUGAAAGUGAAAUUAGGUGAGAGCUUCGGCGCAUCAUCGACCGAUCCUGAUGUUCUCGGAUGGAUUUGAGUAAGAGUUUUAACGGACGGACCCGAAAGACAGUGAACUAUGCUUGUAUAGGGUGAAGCCAGAGGA
rnacentral:rRNA from 1 species